GCCCGGAUGGCGGAAUUGGCAGACGCGCUACAUUCAGGAUGUAGUGAGCUACGCUCGUGCAGGUUCAAGUCCUGUUCCGGGUA
rnacentral:tRNA from 1 species